CGAGCCGAUUCGCUUAGAAAAAUAACGCCGGGAAUAAUAUACAAAGAAAAGAUUUUUCGAUGAAAAUCACCGGGUGGCGGUUGGUGCUGACGGCUGCGGCGUUCUUUGUCUCUUCAUGACACGCCGAGUACAACGGUGAAGGAUUAGGUCAGCUGUCAGGCCGACCAAGUUUUGCAAGCCGGUCAAGUAAACAUUCAUUCCAAUUUCCAAAAGUAUUGGCCACGUCGAUGACAAAAAUUGACAAUGAUCUUAAUUAUUUUCCAUCACGUUCAAUGGAGAAAAGCAAUCGUUUGAUUCAAGUUCAGUUGGAUUUCAUCAGUUUUUAAUUGUUUUUGUUUUUUCCACUGACAAACUGGAGCCUUCUUCGAAAUUGCAUUAUAUUGGCCAAUGUUCUUUUUGCUGCAGGUAUGUGAAACCAUUUCUGUGUUGAUCGUUAACCGCGAAAUGAGAGGGCUCGGUUCGUCACGGAAUAAUCAGCUAGCCAUUUGUAAUCGGAACGGUCGUGUACUGAGGCGGCUCAUUAUUUUCGCUCGCCUUCCAGCCCCUCUGCCUGCCAUUCUACCUGUGCAAUAAUUAGAAUUCGAAUAAACGCAAAUCACGUCCAAAAAAGGGCAGCACACAUUUAGAAGGGCUCGAGACAACUUCUAUACGAUACCGUUAAAGCAGACGAUAGAAGAAGAAGAAGAAAAAAAAGAAAGAAACACGAUUAGUUAUAUGCACCUUCUGGCUGAUGGCGUGAUGAAACUUCAUUUCAGUAUACCACUCUUGGAGCGGGUAAAUAGCAUAUGCAACAAAACUAUGCUGGAUUCGGUCGUGAGGCAGAUGUGGGUCAUCGACGGAACAUGUUCUAUCUUACCCUCCGGGGCUUCAUAUACGUAAUCCGCCAGUUUUGGCUGAAGGAAAGAGCUCGUUGCUAAGAGAGAUUAAAUGCACCAGACGAAGAAUGCGGAAAUCUGCCACAACUGUUGCCAGUAUAUGCACAUUCUUUCCCCAAUAACACUGCAUUCAUCGAUUUUCUUUAUCGUUAGUUCGGGAAUGCCUCAAUCUUGUAUAGGUUCCUGUAAUGAUAUUAAAAGCUAUGGAAGAUGCUGCACAGAUAUUUGAGAAGACAAAAAACACUGAUUGUAAACCCAACUUCUAGCUUUUAUUCAGAAAUUAUGUGGACCAAUAUACCCUAUCAUAUAAACA